rnacentral:pre_miRNA from 9 species
AUUCUGCUCUCCCUCUCUCAUCCUUCGUCCCUGGGUGAGAGUGCUUUCCGAAUGCAAUGCACCUGGGCAAGGAUUCCAGAGGGCGAGGC